UAGGGAAUAUUGCUCAAUGGGGGGAAACCCUGAAGCAGCAACGCCGCGUGGAGGAUGAAGGUUUUUCGGAUUGUAAACUCCUUUUGUUAGAGAAGAUAAU
rnacentral:rRNA from 1 species